rnacentral:lncRNA from 1 species
CGCAAAUAAGCCCGGCGGGACACAAGUGUCAUGGCGCGCUCCAUCUGAAGCCUGUGCAGUUUCCUGACAGUGGCUUGUGGUUUUUCUCUCAGUUUGGACAGAUUCAUCUUUCAAGAGGACUUGAGACCAAUUUCAGAUAAUCAAGAUGCCUUCUGCAUCCUGUGAUGUACUGCUGGAUGACAUAGAAGAUAUCAUAUCACAGGAAGAUUCAAAGCCACAAGAUAGACAUUUCUCAAGAAAGCAUGUGUUUCCUAAAGUACGGAGGCGGAAUACCCAAAAAUAUUUGCAAGAAGAGCCCAGCCCACCAAGUGACAGCACGAUUCCAGGCAUACAGAAAAUUUGGAUACGAACAUGGGGCUGCUCACAUAAUAAUUCAGAUGGAGAAUACAUGGCUGGACAGCUUGCUGCCUAUGGCUAUAAAAUUACAGCUCAGUGUGGAAAAAGCCAGGCGUGGGCCUCAUGGAAAUCAUUCACCGUUGUCUUCUGUUUCUCAGGGGCUCACUGUCCUUCACCCCGUCAGCUUCAGGGUCUGAAAGCACUCUUUUGAAUGAUGGUGAUCUCAUUUCAAAAAAUGGAGACUCCCAGACUGUUCAUUGACUUCGGGUAGUGGGCAGGUAUUAGACCUGGGACUUUGGCUCCUGGACACACAUUCCCAGUGUCCUCACACACAUGGUUGCC